UACGUAGGGCGCAAGCGUUAUCCGGAAUUAUUGGGCGUAAAGAGCUCGUAGGCGGUUUGUCGCGUCUGCCGUGAAAGUCCGGGGCUCAACUCCGGAUCUGCGGUGGGUACGGGGCAGACUAGAGUGAUGUAGGGGAGACUGGAAUUCCUGGUGUAGCGGUGAAAUGCGCAGAUAUCAGGAGGAACACCGAUGGCGAAGGCAGGUCUCUGGGCCGUAACUGACGCUGAGGAGCGAAAGCGUGGGGAGCGAACAGG
rnacentral:rRNA from 1 species